rnacentral:miRNA from 1 species
UGGCCAAAAAGUUCAUUCGGGUUUUUCAUAAGAUGUGUGGAAUAACCCAAACAAACUUUUUGACCAA